rnacentral:rRNA from 1 species
AGGACGAACGCUGGCGGCGCGCUUAACACAUGCAAGUCGAGCGAGAACCAGGGCUUCGGCUCUGGGGACAGCGGCGAACGGGUGAGUAACACGUGGGUAACCUGCCCCUAGCUCUGGGAUAGCUCCGGGAAACCGGGAUUAAUACCAGAUACGACCACUUUAGACAUCUGUCGUGGUGGAAAGGAUUCCGGCUAGGGAUGGGCUCGCGGCCUAUCAGCUUGUUGGUGGGGUAACGGCCUACCAAGGCGACGACGGGUA